UGUGUUUUUGUACCUUAUCUUUCAGAAAUGUGUGGCAUACACUGGCAACAAUAUGAGAAAACAGACCCCUGCUCCAGACAAAAAAGAAAAAGAUCCUUUUGAGGUGGAUCUGUCCCAUGUGUAUCUGGCUUACACAGAGGAGAGUAUGCGGCAGUCACUGAUGAAACUAGAGAGGCCAAGAACCUCUAAAAGUAGCAAGAGUGGUCGACCCAAGACAGGACGAAGGAAAAGAUCUGCUAAGCCAGACGCUGUGAUCGAAUCCCUUCUGCAGUAAAGACAGCGUAGAGGAGGGCUACGUUUGACUGCAACUUUCAUGUUACCCUAUGAAAAGAAGUCAUUUGUCAAGUCUAAAAGUUAUUGUUGAACAUUAUUUAAAAGAUUAUCUUAAUGCACUGUAUAGCUGACAUGGUUUAAAUCUGAAAUAUAAAUAAAUUUGUGCUGUUGUUUGGAGAGCACUCAUGGUAGGAUUAAGACCUCUUGGCCAAGAGGACCUGUUAUUUGUAUUAUGGUGUAAGAAUUUUAAUGUUGCUUGGGCGCAUUUCAAUGGCAGCAGCCUCUGUCUUAAUUAAGUUCAUUCAUUUAAGUACAACUACUUUAAGAAGGAAAUCUUCCAUAAAUAUAUUUUACUUGCAACAUCAAUAGUUUAGAAAACGAUCAACAAUCUGAAAGAAUCUGCAGAUUUGAUGGGAUGCUGAAAGCAGAAUUUGCACAUAGGAACAGCAUUCAUAUCUCCUAUGUUGAGUGUAUUUAACUCAAGUGUUUUGCGAUG